AGAGUUUGAUCCUGGCUCAGAUUGAACGCUGGCGGCAUGCGUUACACAUGCAAGUCGAACGGCAGCACGGACUUCGGUCUGGUGGCGAGUGGCGAACGGGUGAGUAAUAUAUCGGAACGUACCUUUCAGUGGGGGAUAACGUAGCGAAAGUUACGCUAAUACCGCAUAUUCUGUGAGCAGGAAAGCAGGGGAUCGCAAGACCUUGCGCUGAUUGAGCGGCCGAUAUCAGAUUAGCUAGUUGGUGAGGUAAAGGCUCACCAAGGCGACGAUCUGUAGCGGGUCUGAGAGGAUGAUCCGCCACACUGGAACUGAGACACGGUCCAGACUCCUACGGGAGGCAGCAGUGGGGAAUUUUGGACAAUGGGGGCAACCCUGAUCCAGCCAUGCCGCGUGAGUGAAGAAGGCCUUCGGGUUGUAAAGCUCUUUCGGCCGGGAAGAAAUCGUGUGGGCUAAUACCCCAUAUGGAUGACGGUACCGGAAUAAGAAGCACCGGCUAACUACGUGCCAGCAGCCGCGGUAAUACGUAGGGUGCGAGCGUUAAUCGGAAUUACUGGGCGUAAAGCGUGCGCAGGCGGUUUUGUAAGACAGGCGUGAAAUCCCCGGGCUCAACCUGGGAACUGCGUUUGUGACUGCAAGGCUAGAGUAUGGCAGAGGGGGGUGGAAUUCCACGUGUAGCAGUGAAAUGCGUAGAGAUGUGGAGGAACACCGAUGGCGAAGGCAGCCCCCUGGGCCAAUACUGACGCUCAUGCACGAAAGCGUGGGUAGCAAACAGGAUUAGAUACCCUGGUAGUCCACGCCCUAAACGAUGUCAACUAGGUGUUGGGUGGGUAAAACCAUUUAGUACCGGAGCUAACGCGUGAAGUUGACCGCCUGGGGAGUACGGCCGCAAGGUUAAAACUCAAAUGAAUUGACGG
rnacentral:rRNA from 1 species